UGGGGAAUAUUGGACAAUGGGGGCAACCCUGAUCCAGCCAUGCCGCGUGUGUGAAGAAGGCCUUUUGGUUGUAAAGCACUUUAAGCAGGGAGGAGAGGCUAAUGGUUAAAUACCCAUUAGAUUAGACGUUACCUGCAGAAUAAGCACCGGCUAACUCUGUGCCAGCAGCCGCGGUAAUACAGAGGGUGCGAGCGUUAAUCGGAAUUACUGGGCGUAAAGCGAGUGUAGGUGGCUCAUUAAGUCACAUGUGAAAUCCCCGGGCUUAACCUGGGAACUGCAUGUGAUACUGGUGGUGCUAGAAUAUGUGAGAGGGAAGUAGAAUUCUAGGUGUAGCGGUGAAAUGCGUAGAGAUCUGGAGGAAUACCGAUGGCGAAGGCAGCUUCCUGGCAUAAUAUUGACACUGAGAUUCGAAAGCGUGGGUAGCAAACAGGAUUAGAUACCCUGGUAGUCCACGCCGUAAACGAUGUCUACUAGGCGUUGGGGUCCUUGAGACUUUAGUGGCGCAGUUAACGCGAUAAGUAGACCGCCUGGGGGAGUACGGCCGCAAGGUUAAAACUC
rnacentral:rRNA from 1 species